UACGUAGGGUGCGAGCGUUAAUCGGAAUUACUGGGCGUAAAGCGUGCGCAGGCGGUUUUGUAAGGCAGAUGUGAAAUCCCCGGGCUCAACCUGGGAAUGGCAUUUGGGACUGCAAGGCUGGAGUUUGGCAGAGGAGACUGGAAUUCCUGGUGUAGCAGUGAAAUGCGUAGAUAUCAGGAGGAAUACCGAUGGCGAAGGCAGGUCUCUGGGCUAUAACUGACGCUCAUGCACGAAAGCGUGGGGAGCAAACAGG
rnacentral:rRNA from 1 species